rnacentral:rRNA from 1 species
UAAAGUGGCGAACGGCUGAGUAACACGUGGGCAACCUGCCCUUUGCACUGGGAUAGCCUCGGGAAACCGAGGUUAAUACCGGAUACUCCAUAUUUGUCGCAUGGCGAAUAUGGGAAAGCUCCGGCGGCAAAGGAUGGGCCCGCGGCCUGUUAGCUAGUUGGUGGGGUAGUGGCCUACCAAGGCAAUGAUGGGUAGCCGGGUUGAGAGACCGACCGGCCAGAUUGGGACUGAGACACGGCCCAGACUCCUACGGGAGGCAGCAGUA